rnacentral:rRNA from 1 species
CAGUCGCCGCGGUAAUACGUAGGGCGCAAGCGUUGUCCGGAAUUAUUGGGCGUAAAGAGCUCGUAGGCGGUCUGUCGCGUCUGGUGUGAAAUCCCGAGGCUCAACCUCGGGCUUGCAUCGGGUACGGGCAGACUAGAGUGCGGUAGGGGAGACUGGAAUUCCUGGUGUAGCGGUGGAAUGCGCAGAUAUCAGGAGGAACACCGAUGGCGAAGGCAGGUCUCUGGGCCGCAACUGACGCUGAGGAGCGAAAGCAUGGGGAGCGAACAGGAUUAGAUACCCCUGUAGUCCCUGUCUCUUAUAA